UCGACCAGGGAAAGCAGAACCUACUUAUUUCACCCAAAUGUUUUUCCUCCUCACAAUCAAUUAUUGAAUUAUAGACAAUGUCCAAUCAAGCAACCUUCACAAAUUCUGUACACAGAUUGGAAACUUGUCCAGUGAGUCAUAAAGUUUAAUACAACAAUAAUUCAGCUCCUGUCAGCAGCUGUCUAUUUUCAGAAAUAGCUUUUUACAGGAAAUCUUCUUGGUUUCAGCCCUUUCAUUGCCCAGUUCCAUGAUUUCAGCAAAAAGGGAACCGUUGCAAGUGUGCAGUGUUAAAGAUAAACUACAGACUGACUUCACUCACGACUCAGACCUUGACCCACAUCGCCAGAGCCUUGUUUGAUCAUGGUCAAUAAUACUUGUGUCUCUGGAAAUGACACCGCCACAUGUUCUGGCCGCAGCUCUCCUGCAGGUCUGAUCUGGGGGCUGACGCUCUUCUUUCUCCUGCUUGUGAUCACAGCUGGUGUAAUCAUGUACAAAUAUCAAGGUAAAAUCAGGAAUAUGUUGCAUUUUGGACAUACAAGAAGCCAGAAGAAGGAGGACUUUACAGAGACAACACAAGCUGAUUCCCACCAGUAUGACCGUAUGAUGAUAGAACAGUCAACAGCGCAGAGCCCUAUUUAUGAAAACCUGACAACUCAAACUACUGGAUACAACAGGCGCUCAGUAAACCAGAGCAGGACAUCCAGUCAACCUGAAGAGGAUUUGUACUUGCAGUGUGAUUUGCCAGAUGAUGCAAUAUACAGCAAUGAUCCGGCGUGCAACCUCUCCAUCCUCCCAGACUCACAAGAAGAAGACGUGUAUAUUGUACCAGACUCAUGAUUGGACACAUCUCUAUUCAUGUCUGCAUAUUUUUACUCCGUUUACUGUACUGAUUAUGGUAAAAUGUACAAAUAUACUGCUGCUUUAUGGUACUGCUGACCUGUAAACAACAACACAUACGUAUUAUCUAUACAUGCGGUAUAUUUCAUAGAUAUAUUUUAUUAGUGUACACGUCUUUGGUUAUUACUGUUUUUCUCACAGAUCCUUUAAUAUCAUAUUGGACGUGCUGCACAAAUUACAACAUUCUGACAACAAUCCAAGGUAAUCCUUUCAUGAUAAUAUCUGAUUGUUUUUGGGCUUUCUCUUGAUUUGUCUGGUGUUGGAAUUACUGAUGAAUCACUUCAUUUUGACCUUUAGAGAGGAGAAGUGUGAGCGAUUUACUCACUCUUAUGUGGUAAAGUCAUGCAUGUAUUUUGCUGUCCUCUUUUGUGUCAGCAGUUUUGCGUUUGGCUCUCCAUUAGAUUUAAAAUCAUUUCAGCAGCCGAGAAAAUUAGUGUAUAAGUUUUGUUAUUUCUUUUGAAUAAAUAAUUCCACAAAAACAUA